UCCACGCUGCCCUGGCUGUUGUUGUCGCCGUGUCGACCAUCCGGUGCACCCCCGAUGAGGAUAAGACCGCUCCUGACCCUGUAGACAAACCCUAUCCCUCACUUAUCCUCUUGCUCGUCCUCUUCCUCUCGGUUUCGCUCGCUCCCGAGACGCGUCGUCGCCAUCCUCAUGGCCACUGGCCUCCCCGGCGAUCGGGAGGUUCUCCAGGAGCUCCGCCAUCAUCGACUCUUUCGCCUACCUCCGCUGAAUCAAGCUAAGAGGCACCAUACGCUCGGGAUCGAGAUGGUUUCCGCCACGGCCGUCGCAUCUUGCUGUCGAGCUUGACACAUCCAGCCACCACUGCAGCUCCUGACCUCGUCCACAAGCUCCGCGACCCCGUGAUGGCUGCCGAUGCCGCCGUGAUCGACUACGUCACCGACAACCCUCCUUCUCGUCUGAGCAAAAAGGCAAGCCCUCCUUUGAUCAUCCCGAUAUUGCCCAUUCCGUUCUCUCAUGCUUGCAUUAGAUUUUGCUACUGUAAUUGAUUGCUCCUAUUCUGAUGCAUAGUCUGCUUUUGUAACUUGCUUAUUGUUACCUACCUGCUUAUCCUAAACUGCUUAGUAUAGGUUGGUUAGUGAUCCAUCAGUGACCCCAUCUAGUCCUUGUUGCCCCUGCUUCAUCAUCGACGACUCGAUCAACGUGAUCGACGACCAGAGCCCGACCCCUCACAUCACAUCACGCCCCUUUUGUUGCUCGACUCUGCAGAGUUGCCAUCGAGUGCCGAGGGUGGAACCUCUUACAUCACUCCUGAUGAGAUCUCUGUAGUGUAGCUAUCCGAUCGUGGUCAUGGAGGGUGAUUUCCUCCGUAACCACUUUUGAUACGGCUCUGUCGUGCAACCCCUCAUGUAUGAACCUCGAGGGUGGAUCCUCUUACGUUCACCUUGAUGAUUACAUCGAGUGGAAUUCACCAGGGGUGAUUCCUCGGGUUUUCCCCUUGAUGUUUGGACACACGGAUACUUGGACUUUACAACUGUUACUUGGAAAGGCGGGUCGACCCUGAGCGGUACCCGCGAGUGAUGUGGAGUCGGGUUGACCUGGAGGGUGCCCACGAGAUAAUUACGAGGCGUGGCCGGGCAUUCCUAGCCCUUGCCGCAAGUCCUCGAGACGGGGCAACGGGGUCACAUCUUUCGUGAGUCUCUGCUUGUUACCUCGCGUUCCUAAUCCACUACGAUUUGGAUAUUUGAUUCAAGGGGCCUCUGGCCUGAUAGCACUAACCAUCACGUGGGCAUAGUAUGGGCGUUCUGCGUCGUAUGCAUCAACCGAAGGUUAAUAGACGUUAGUGACUGAGCGGCGCGCGCCGGGUUGGACUGGUAAGCACCUGCCUUUUUGAAGGAGGUAGCUAGGUCUGCUCACCGGCCGCGUACGCAACGUGCAGGAGUUCCCGGGGAGAUGGCCCAUGGCCCCUGGGGGCAUAGGAUUAGUCCGGCGUGCUGACCUCUCUAUUAAGCCUAGGUCGGGUUGCGGCGUAUUGUUUGGCCGAGACCGGGCAUGACCCAGGAAAGUGUGUCCGGCCGGAGUUAAUCGAGCAUGGUGGGUAUGUUGGUGCACCCUUGCAGGGAAGAAAACAUCUAUUGAUAGCCUGUCCUACGGUAACGGACACUUGGAGUUGUAUCCCGAUCGAUACAACUAGAACUGGAUACUUGAGAUGAGACUUGGAUAUGAGGUGAUAAAUGGAUAGUAUGGCUCUGGGAUUACUUUCUCGCAAGGAGUCGAGAAAGGAUUUCUGGCCGAGGUUGAUAACACGUCUACUACUUUACUUUAUGCUACUCUACUCCCUCCUGUUGCUGCAAGAUGGUGGUUCCCAGAAGAUGCUAGUCUUCGAUAGGCUAGGCUUUCCCCUUCUCUUUUGGCAUUCUACAGUCCAGUUCACAAAUACAACCUUUUUCAUUGAUACCGAUGCAUAUGUAGUGUAGAUCCUUACUGUGACGCUCGGAUAAUUAAGCUACAGUGAACCUUUGCUAAUGAUGCCACGUCACCUCGGUCACUGUCGAUAAACUCGCAUUAGUUUAAAACAGAUUCAAAUUAAAUUUAAAUUAAAGUCAAACGUUAAAAGUUUUCAAAUGUCAAACUAAAAUGUUCAAAAAAUGGUAAAUAAUCCAUAAGCAAUUAUGGCGGUGAAAUCAACUUUUUGUAAAGUAAUUAAGUGGCCUAAAAUAAUUAAAACAGGGGUCAAUUAUUUAUUAAAAUGCAUUUUCAAAAUGGUAGAAAUCUCCAAACUAUUUUAUUUGCCCCCGAACCUUUUUGUGACAGUAGCCUAUAUUACUAUAUUAAUUGUGGAGCAAGUUUUGUUUUUAUUAAGACAAAUGGUUUAGAAACUAAAUAGAAACCGAAGUUGAAAUAAAAAGAAAACAAAGAAAAAGGAAAGAAAGAAAACCCCGGGCCUUCCCCCCUCCCCUUCCGCCGUUUGGCCCAACUGGGCAUCCAAUCCACCAGCCCACAGGCCCAAGCCCACCAAAGGCCUUUCUCCCUCCCCUAUACAGAGAACGUGCGUGGCGACCAUCCAAGGCGCAAUGGCCGUGGAUGUCAUCCACGUCGCCUCCUGAACACUAUAAUCCAGUCCCCCAGAAACCCUAGCUCGUCCUUGUCCACUUCCCCCUUCUUCCCCAUCGCGCCCCUUCCUCAUCUGCUCGGAAUCAAUCUCGGGAACUCACGCGGUGACCACUGCCUCACCAUCAUUAUCGUGGACACCGUCGUCGCCGUCGCUCGGGAGCACGUCGAGGAUCUCCGCGCUCGACUUCGUCCGUUCCAGGGACCAGCUUGAGCCAAGGAGCUGCGUACAUGUCACCAUUGUCGUCUUCUUCAACCAGCCGCCACUAACUCGCCGUCGAUGUCGACGCUUCGGUCCACCCCGACCCUUCCCGAGCAGGCCAACGGAUUCACUGUGAGCUCCUCUCUCAGAUCCCUCUUGUCCCCCUUUGUUUUGGACGCCGUAGGCCGCUGUUGCCAUCGUGCCCGAGUUUCCGCGUACAUCUGCUGAUGCUACUCCUUACUGCAGCUGCUUUCUGCGCACUGCCGCUACUGCUCAUGCUGUUGCGCGGCUGCUACCGGUGCUCCUGGCCGCUUUGCGCUGCUGCUUGCUCUAGCUGUUGCCCCGCUUGCCCUGCUGCUGCGCUGACACUAGUUGCUGCUCCGCUGCCGCUUGCCGCGUCUCUGCUGCGCCUCUCCUGCAUCGCCGCCUGCGCCUCGGGGGUGCCAGCGCCCGCGGCCGCCCGCUGCGCGCCGCGGUUUGCCCGCCGCACCGGAUGCGCCCGCGCCGGCAUGCCCUGCCGCUGCUCGCCCCCCCUGCGUGCGCCCCCAUUCCCCAUCGCUCUGGCCCACACCGGCCACGGCCGCCCACCCCCGCAGCCACGGCAACCGACUGCGCCCGCUCCGCCCAUCUUCGUCGCCUGCCGCUUGCCCGUCGGCGGCGAGCCACGCUUGCCUACCCUGCUCGUCGGCUAAGCCCCGUACUUGGCCCGCGCUUGCGCCGGCUGUGCUCCGGCCAUGGCUUCGACCUGGUACGCGUGUGCGCGCUAGCGUGUGGCCACUGGCUUCCAGCCAGUGCCUUGUGGCCCUCCCUCUAAUAGCUUGUUUAGGAUUAACAAAAGUAGUUAAUUUAAUUGACCCCCGUGUCAUCGAUAGUAUGGCCCCACUUAGUAGUUAUGCUAAAUAGAUUAAAUAAACAAUGUUUAGUUUAACCCAUAUAAAAACUGAGUCAGUGACAGCCGGGUCCCACCUACACUAUUCAUCCUUUGACCAGUCAGAUGUUGACUGGGUCAACUAGUCAACAUGCCCCACAUGUCAGCCUUUGUAGAACCUGCUGUGUACACUUCAGUGUGUGCACGUAGCAUUUGACUAUUAAUUUCGAAUUAAUAAUAAUUCGAGAAUUUUGAAUUAUCUAUUAAAACUUUGAAAAUUAGUAUAAAAUAAAC